rnacentral:rRNA from 1 species
ACACUCCUGCGGGAGGCAGCAGUGGGGAAUUUUGGACAAUGGGGGCAACCCUGAUCCAGCAAUGCCGCGUGAGUGAAGAAGGCCUUCGGGUUGUAAAGCUCUUUUGUCAGGGAAGAAACGGUGGUGGCGAAUAACUACUACUAAUGACGGUACCUGAAGAAUAAGCACCGGCUAACUACGUGCCAGCAGCCGCGGUAAUACGUAGGGUGCAAGCGUUAAUCGGAAUUACUGGGCGUAAAGCGUGCGCAGGCGGUUGUGUAAGUCAGAUGUGAAAUCCCCGGGCUCAACCUGGGAAUUGCAUUUGAGACUGCACGGCUAGAGUGUGUCAGAGGGGGGUAGAAUUCCACGUGUAGCAGUGAAAUGCGUAGAUAUGUGGAGGAAUACCGAUGGCGAAGGCAGCCCCCUGGGAUAACACUGACGCUCAUGCACGAAAGCGUGGGGAGCAAGCAGUAUUAGAUACCCGUGUAGUCCCA